rnacentral:sRNA from 1 species
GUCAGGCGUGGUGGCGCACGCCUGUAAUUCCAGUGGCUCAGGAGGCUGAGGCAGGAGGAUCGUGAGUUCAAGGCCAACCUCAGCAACUUAGCAGGGCCCUAAGCAAUUUAGUGAAAUCCUUUCUCUU